rnacentral:rRNA from 1 species
AUUGAACGCUGGCGGCAGGCCUAACACAUGCAAGUCGAGCGAGCGGCGGACGGGUGAGUAAUGUCUGGGAAACUGCCUGAUGGAGGGGGAUAACUACUGGAAACGGUAGCUAAUACCGCAUACCAUCAGAUGUGCCCAGAUGGGAUUAGCUAGUAGGUGGGGUAAUGGCUCACCUAGGCGACGAUCCCUAGCUGGUCUGAGAGGAUGACCAGCCAGACUGGAACGGAGAAACGGUCCAGACUCCUAGGGUGGUCGGCAGUGGGGAAUAUUGCACAAUGGGCGCAAGCCUGAUGCAGCAAUGCCGCGUGUAUGAAGAGGGCCUUCGGGUUGGAAAGUACUUUCAGCGGGGAGGCGGUACCCGCAGAAGAAGCACCGGCUAACUCCGUGCCAGCCGCCGCGGUAAUAC